rnacentral:tRNA from 1 species
GCUGUCGUAGCUCAGUUCGGUAGAGCACUCGCCUCGUAAGCGGGAGCGCGCGGGUUCGAUGCCUGCCGGCAGCACCA